UGGGCAAAGCAUUGUAAGAUUUUUCCCCCAUUUUGGACGUUAUACCUGUCCAGUCUACAGAAUAUCACAGGCUCUACUUUUGUGUCAAUUUAAAAUGAGGAUACAGAAAAUGAAGGCAAAGGGAAACUGUUGACAAUCCUUUGAAGUCAUAAAUAUACAAGAGCAUGAAUAAGAGAAGAAAAGAUGGAAGAUAAAAAGCAGAAGGGUGCUGGAGAUAUAAUGGUGAAUAAUGUUGCAAUAUGCCCAGUCUUCAUGGAAUCAACAGUCCAGUAGGGAAGGCAGAUAAGUGAGCAUAUUCCUUCUAUUUACAGAAAAAGUCAACUGCAAAACCGCCUCAGGCAGGUCUUUCAGGAGAUAUUCCAGAAGGCAUUGUUAUCAUACAAAAUGAUAGCUCCAUGAGUAUUAUUUUCCCUGAAGACCAGUGGGACAAGAUGAGGAGAUGGAAGACAGUGAUAUGGAUGAUCCUGAACCUGAGACUGUAUAGGCCUAGGCUAAUGCAUGUGUUUGUGUCUUCGUUUUUAACUAAAAGCUUAAAAAGUAAGAAAAAUAAAAAUAAAACAUUUGAAAAUAGAAAAAUCAUAUAGAAUUAAGGACAUAAGAAUAUUUUCGAACAGCUGUACAAUGUAUGUGUGUUUUAAGCUAAAUGUUAUUGCAAAAGAGCCAAAAGUUUUUUUUAAAAAGUUUAUAAAAACUUACAAUAAGCUAAGAUUAAUUUAUUAAUGAAGAAAUAAUCUUUGUAUAUAAGUUUAGUGUAGCCUAAGUGUACAGUGUUUAUAAAUCUACAGUAAUGUCCCAGACCUUCACAUUCACUCAUCACUCACUCACUGACUCACUCAGAGCAACUUCCAGUCCUGCAAGCUCCAUCCAUGGUAAGUGCCUUAUAAAUGUGUACCACUUUUUAUCUUUUAUACUGUAUUUUUACUGUACCCUUUCUAUGCUUGUUUAGAUACACAAAUACCACUGUGUAACAAUUGCCUACAGUAUUCAGUACCGAAAUAUGGUGUACAGAUGUGUAGCCUAGGAGCAAUAGGCUAUACCAUAUAACCUAGGUGUGUAUAGGUUUGUGUAAGCAUACUCCACAAUGCUUGCACAACUAUGUGCAAGCAUACUCUAUGAUGUAAACAUACUCUAGGAUGUUUGUAUAAGCAUACUCUACAGUGUUUGUAUAAGCAUACUCUAAAUUUGUGUAAGCAUACUCUACGAUGUUUGCAUAACCAUGACAUCACCUAAUGAUACAUUUUUCAGAAUGUAUCCCAUUGUUAAACAUACAUGACAGUAUUUAAUAAAUAAUUAAAUGACUACUGUAUUCCAGGCAUUGUACCAAA